UACGUAGGGAGCAAGCGUUGUCCGGAAUUACUGGGCGUAAAGGGUGCGCAGGCGGUCUGUUAAGUCAGCGGUCAAAGCCCGGGGCUCAACCCCGGCGAGCCGUUGAAACUGGCUGUCUUGAGAUGUCGAGAGGUAUGCGGAAUGCGCAGUGUAGCGGUGAAAUGCUUAGAUAUUGCGCAGAACUCCGAUUGCGAAGGCAGCAUACCGGCGGCGAUCUGACGCUGAGGCACGAAAGCGUGGGUAUCGAACAGG
rnacentral:rRNA from 1 species